rnacentral:rRNA from 1 species
GAUGAAUGCUGGCGGCGUGCCUAAUACAUGCAAGUCGAGCGAACAGACGAGGAGCUUGCUCCUCUGACGUUAGCGGCGGACGGGUGAGUAACACGUGGAUAACCUACCUAUAAGACUGGGAUAACUUCGGGAAACCGGAGCUAAUACCGGAUAAUAUAUUGAACCGCAUGGUUCAAUAGUGAAAGACGGUUUUGCUGUCACUUAUAGAUGGAUCCGCGCCGCAUUAGCUAGUUGGUAAGGUAACGGCUUACCAAGGCAACGAUGCGUAGCCGACCUGAGAGGGUGAUCGGCCACACUGGAACUGAGACACGGUCCAGACUCCUACGGGAGGCAGCAGUAGGGAAUCUUCCGCAUUGGGCGAAAGCCUGACGGAGCAACGCCGCGUGAGUGAUGAAGGUCUUCGGAUCGUAAAACUCUGUUAUUAGGGAAGAACAAAUGUGUAAGUAACUAUGCACGUCUUGACGGUACCUAAUCAGAAAGCCACGGCUAACUACGUG